GGUGAAUAUAAUGCUCUUCAAUUGAAGUUUCUGUGUGGAAUUGGCUAUUGUCCUGUUGGUGCCCUCUCAUGGGAGGUGAAAACAACUUCAGGAAAACUGGUACUCGUUUCAAGACUUCUCACAUGGACAUAUCUGCUAUCUCACCUUAGACCAAGUAUUAGGUUGUAGUUUGUGAUUCUGCUGGUGUUGUGACAACAUUUUAUAUGUGCUCGGAAGUUGAUGCAGCGACGUUGAGAGAUGAGAUAGAUUUUGAAUUCUUGGGAAACAGAAUAGGAUUGCUUUAUCUUAUUCAAAAGCUAGAGCCCUAUUUUUGUAGACAUGAUCAAAUUAAUAAAACAAAUCAUGUUGUAUCCUCUUUUAUCUUCUAUUUGCUGUUGUAUUGGUUUACAUUUAUGGUUCAGUAUACAAGGCUAGACACUUGUGCUA